AUGCAGUCGCACGGACCUUUCGGGGUGAGUGGCGGACGGGUGAGUAACGCGUAGGGAUCUAUCCAUGGGUGGGGGAUAACACCGGGAAACUGGUGCUAAUACCGCAUGAUACCUGAGGGUCAAAGGCGCAAGUCGCCUGUGGAGGAGCCUGCGUUCGAUUAGCUUGUUGGUGGGGUAAAGGCCUACCAAGGCGAUGAUCGAUAGCUGGUCUGAGAGGAUGAUCAGCCACACUGGGACUGAGACACGGCCCAGACUCCUACGGGAGGCAGCAGUGGGGAAUAUUGGACAAUGGGCGAAAGCCUGAUCCAGCAAUGCCGCGUGUGUGAAGAAGGUCUUCGGAUUGUAAAGCACUUUCGACGGGGACGAUGAUGACGGUACCCGUAGAAGAAGCCCCGGCUAACUUCGUGCCAGCAGCCGCGGUAAUACGAAGGGGGCUAGCGUUGCUCGGAAUGACUGGGCGUAAAGGGCGCGUAGGCGGUUCAUACAGUCAGAUGUGAAAUUCCAGGGCUUAACCUUGGGGCUGCAUUUGAUACGUAUGGACUAGAGUGUGAGAGAGGGUUGUGGAAUUCCCAGUGUAGAGGUGAAAUUCGUAGAUAUUGGGAAGAACACCGGUGGCGAAGGCGGCAACCUGGCUCAUUACUGACGCUGAGGCGCGAAAGCGUGGGGAGCAAACAGGAUUAGAUACCCU
rnacentral:rRNA from 2 species